rnacentral:tRNA from 1 species
GCAGUGGUGGUUCAGUGGUAGAGUUCCCACCUUCCACGCAGGAGACCUGGGUUCGAUUCCCAGCCAAAGCA